AUGUUUUGCUUGCCCCUCUUGAACGCACCAAAUUGUCCGCUCAGUCUGUUGAGUCUGUCUUUCUCGGAUACAGUGAUAAGCAUAAGGGCUACCGAUGUUGGGAUCCUGUCAGUCGUCGCAAUGCGUAUUUCGCGGGAUGUGACCUUUGAUGAGUCCUGUCCCUUCUACCCGCGUCCAUCCUCCUCGGCCUUUUCCACGGAGGACAUCUCUUUUCUUACAUUUCCGGAUACACCUCCUUUUGUGCACAGUAUUCCUACUCCUCGUCGUAUUCCUACUCCUCGUCCCGCUGUUGUAGAUUCGAUGCCAUCCUCUCCUACGGUUUCUUCUCCUCCCUUGUCUCAUAACUCUCCACCUUCAUCAUCGAUAUCUUCCCCUUCUCCACCUUCAUCGCCGGUACAUUCCCCAUCUUCACCUCCAGUGAUUCCACCUCUUCCCUCCUUUCCAUUCCAUUAUACUCGUCGUCCACGUGUUGUGGACGAGUCUACUGAUACGCCCUCUACUUCUGGUGCGUCGUCUUCCUCCUCUCAGCCGACUUAUGGUCUUCGUUCUCGGCCUUGUCCGCCCCCUGGCCGAUAUUCUCCUUCUCGUUAUGGUCUUUCGACCGUUCUUGAGCCGACUUCUUAUCGAGAUGUUGUUGUUCAUCCUGAAUGGCAGUUUGCGAUGGCAGAGGAGAUUGCUGCUCUUGAGUGCCCCGGCACGUGGGAUCUGGUUUCUCUUCCUCCCCGUGUUCGUCCCAUCACUUGUAAGUGGGUCUAUAAGAUUAAGACUCGCUCUGAUGGUUCUCUUGAGCGUUACAAAGCUCGUCUUGUGGCUCGUGGCUUUCAGCAGGAGCAUGGUCGUGAUUAUGAUGAGACUUUUGCUCCUGUGGCCCAUAUGACCACUAUCCGCACACUUCUCGUCGUGGCCUCUGUUCGUCAUUGGUUUGUGUCUCAGCUUGAUGUGAAGAAUGCCUUUCUAAAUGGUGAGUUGUGUGAGGAGGUUUAUAUGCAGCCACCACCUGGGUAUUUUGUUCCUGAUGGCAUGGUUUGUCGUCUUCAACGCUCUCUCUAUGGCCUUAAACAAGCCCCCCGUGCCUGGUUUGAGCGUUUUGCCUCUGUGGUGACCGCCGCUGUUUUUUCGCCCAGUGCUCAUGAUCCAGCAUUGUUUGUCCACCUUUCUGCUCUUGGUAGGACUCUUAUUCUUCUAUAUGUUGAUGACAUGAUCAUCACCGAUGAUGACUCUGAGUACAUUGCCUUUGUCAAGGCACGUCUUAGUGAGCAGUUUCUUAUGUCUGAUCUUGGUCCUCUUCGCUACUUUCUUGGGAUUGAGGUUUCUUCUACCUUUGAUGGCUUCUUUAUUUCCCAAGAAAAGUAUAUCCAGGAUCUUCUCUCUCGUGCAGCUCUUAGUGAUGAGCGCACUGUUGAGACUCCUAUGGAGCUCAAUGUCCAUCUUCGUGCUUUUGAUGGGGAGCCCUUGUCUGAUCCGACGCGUUAUCGUCAUCUUGUCGGGAGUCUUGCCUAUCUUGCCGUCACUCGUCCAGAUAUCUCCUACCCUGUCCAUAUUCUGAGUCAGUUUGUUUCUGCUCCUACUUCAGUUCACUAUAGUCACCUUCUUCGUGUUCUACGAUAUCUUCGUGGCACGAUCUCUCAUCGUCUCUUCUUCCCUCGUUCCAGCUCGUUACAGCUCCAGGCCUAUUCGGAUGCUACGUGGGCUAGUGAUCCUUUGGAUCACCGUUCACUUUCUGCUUACUAUGUUUUUCUUGGUGGUUCCCUCAUUGCCUGGAAGACGAAGAAACAGACUGCAGUUUCCAUUCGAGUGCAGAGGCCGAGUUGCGAGCUAUGGCUCUUCUGA
rnacentral:rRNA from 1 species